rnacentral:lncRNA from 1 species
GAGUAGUCCGAUAGAUGACUGAAGGAGCUCAUUAUUGGAGAAGUCCGGAGGAUAAGGUAGGAGUUCGUCCAUUGGAGGAAUCUGGAGGACAUUGUAGAAGGUCGACUAUUGGAGGAGUCUGGAUGGUAUUGUAGAAACUCAGACGGUCGGAGAAGUUCAGAAAGAUGCCACACAAGGUCGAAAGCCGGAAGAGUCCUGGGAGGGUUGGCCUCUUACGAACUUCGACUGGGUUUAUUUUAUACCCAACAUCUCCCAAGAGCAACGAGCUAAAGAACCUGAGGAACCCAAUCAAUUAGAACCAGUCCUAACACAACCUCUUCCACCUCGUAGAUCGACUAGGAUUUUUCAUCCUCCUGAAAGGUACUUAGGUACUAU